AUUGAACGCUGGCGGCAGGCCUAACACAUGCAAGUCGAACGAGUGGCGGACGGGUGAGUAAUGUCUGGGAACCUGCCUGAUGGUGGGGGAUAACUACUGGAAACGUUAGCUAAUACCGCAUAUUAUCAGAUGUGCCCAGAUGGGCUUAGCUUGUUGGUGGGGUAACGGCUCACCAAGGCGACGAUCCCUAGCUGGUCUGAGAGGAUGAUCCGCCACACUGGAACUGGGACACGGUCCAGACUCCUACGGGAGGCAGCAGUGGGGAAUAUUGCACAAUGGGCGCAAGCCGGAUGCAGCCAUGCCGCGUGUAUGAAGAAGGCCGUCGGGUUGUAAAGUACUUUCAGCAGGGAGGCGUUACCCACAGAAGAAGCACCGGCUAACUCCGUGCCAGCAGCCGCGGUAAUUC
rnacentral:rRNA from 1 species